rnacentral:rRNA from 1 species
AUUGAACGCUGGCGGCAGGCUUAACACAUGCAAGUCGAGCGGGGGAGGUUGCUUCGGUAACUGACCUAGCGGCGGACGGGUGAGUAAUGCUUAGGAAUCUGCCUAUUAGUGGGGGACAACGUUCCGAAAGGAACGCUAAUACCGCAUACGCCCUACGGGGGAAAGCAGGGGAUCUUCGGACCUUGCGCUAAUAGAUGAGCCUAAGUCGGAUUAGCUAGUUGGUGGGGUAAAGGCCUACCAAGGCGACGAUCUGUAGCGGGUCUGAGAGGAUGAUCCGCCACACUGGGACUGAGACACGGCCCAGACUCCUACGGGAGGUAGCAGUGGGGAAUAUUGGACAAUGGGCGGAAGCCUGAUCCAGCCAUGCCGCGUGUGUGAAGAAGGCCUCUUGGUUGUAAAGCACUUUAAGCGAGGAGGAGGCUCCUUUAGUUAAUACCUAAAGAGAGUGGACGUUACUCGCAGAAUAAGCACCGGCUAACUCUGUGCCAGCCGCCGCCGUAAAAC